AUUAUCAGCCUGUUUCACUGAUUGCAGGGCGUUUUCCAUCAUCAGCGUUGCCGAGUAGACAAGUGAAAUACCACAACUAUGAAAUGUUAGGAAUUAAUGUCAGAAAAUCAAAAUCACGAUGAUAUGUCUUCGGAUCAUCUCCAGGGAUAUUUCGAACAUAGUCGCCAAUAGCCAUUGAGCAACUCCAGAGCAACAUAAAUAAAGUGCUAUUAAUACUGCUACUGAUAUCUACAAUCACAGUCACGGUUAAGUUACUCAAGUGUUUAGGGCAACAGCUUUAGAAAUUGUUGUAACAAUGGGAAUCUGUUUGCAUAGCAUAAAAAUAAUGAAUUAUCUUUAACUAAUCUAUCAUAGCUUGCUUUCUACUCCAGUGUUAAUUCUUGUGUAAGUUAUUAUUUUCAAUGAAAAUUUUAAGUGUUAAUUCUUGACUUGUCACUUGUUAAUUUCUCUAUUAUGCUCAACAACUGUUGUCUCACUUAUGGCUAUUCCAAUAAAUAAUAAUUAAAAUGA